rnacentral:rRNA from 1 species
UGGGGAAUAUUGCGCAAUGGGGGGAACCCUGACGCAGCCAUGUCGCGUGAAUGAAGAAGGCCUUAGGGUUGUAAAGUUCUUUCGGUAUUGAGGAAGGUUGAUGUGUUAAUAGCACAUCAAAUUGACGUUAAAUACAGAAGAAGCACCGGCUAACUCCGUGCCAGCAGCCGCGGUAAUACGGAGGGUGCGAGCGUUAAUCGGAAUAACUGGGCGUAAAGGGCACGCAGGCGGUUAUUUAAGUGAGGUGUGAAAGCCCCGGGCUUAACCUGGGAAUUGCAUUUCAGACUGGGUAACUAGAGUACUUUAGGGAGGGGUAGAAUUCCACGUGUAGCGGUGAAAUGCGUAGAGAUGUGGAGGAGUACCGAAGGCGAAGGCAGCCCCUUGGGAAUGUACUGACGCUCAUGUGCGAAAGCGUGGGGAGCAAACAGGAUUAGAUACCCUGGUAGUCCACGCUGUAAACGCUGUCGAUUUGGGGGUUGGGGUUUAACUCUGGCGCCCGUAGCUAACGUGAUAAAUCGACCGCCUGGGGAGUACGGCCGCAAGGUUA